UGAGGAAUAUUGGUCAAUGGGCGCAAGCCUGAACCAGCCAUCCCGCGUGCAGGAAGACGGCCCUAUGGGUUGUAAACUGCUUUUCCAGGAGACGAAUAGUCUUUACGUGUAAGGGCAUGACGGUACCCUGGGAAUAAGCAUCGGCUAACUCCGUGCCAGCAGCCGCGGUAAUACGGAGGAUGCAAGCGUUAUCCGGAUUCAUUGGGUUUAAAGGGUGCGUAGGCGGGCUAUUAUGUCAGUGGUGAAAUCCUGCAGCUUAACUGCAGAACUGCCGUUGAAACUGAUAGUCUUGAGUUUGGUUAAGGUAGGCGGAAUGUGUAAUGUAGCGGUGAAAUGCUUAGAUAUUACACAGAACACCGAUUGCGUAGGCAGCUUACUGAGCCGACACUGACGCUGAGGCACGAAAGCGUGGGGAUCGAACAG
rnacentral:rRNA from 1 species